rnacentral:rRNA from 1 species
AAUAGAUACCCCGGUAGUCCACGCCGUAAACGAUGGAUACUAGCUGUUGGGGGCAACUUCAGUGACUAAGCGAAAGUGAUAAGUAUCCCACCUGGGGAGUACGAACGCAAGUUUGAAACUCAAAGGAAUUGACGGGGGCCCGCACAAGCGGUGGAGCAUGUGGUUUAAUUCGAUGAUACGCGAGGAACCUUACCAAGGCUUAAAUGCAGACUGACCGAUUUGGAAACAGAUCUUUCGCAAGACAGUUUACAAGGUGCUGCAUGGUUGUCGUCAGCUCGUGCCGUGAGGUGUCAGGUUAAGUCCUAUAACGAGCGCAACCCUGUUGUUAGUUGCCAGCGAGUAGUGUCGGGAACUCUAACAAGACUGCCAGUGCAAACUGUGAGGAAGGUGGGGAUGACGUCAAAUCAUCACGGCCCUUACGCCUUGGGCUACACACGUGCUACAAUGGCCGGUACAGAGAGCAGCCACCCCGGCGAGGGGGAGCGAAUCUAUAAAGCCGGUCACAGUUCGGAUCGG